UCGCUAGUAAUCGCGAAUCAGAAUGUCGCGGUGAAUACGUUCCCGGGUCUUGUACACACCGCCCGUCGCACCACGAGAGUUUACAACACCCGAAGUCAGUGGCCUAACCGCAAGGAGGGAGCUGCCUAAGGUGGGGUAGAUGAUUGGGGUGAAGUCGUAACAAGGUAAC
rnacentral:rRNA from 1 species